GGCUGACGACAGCUUUCAGCUGCACCUGAACUAGGCUGGAUUUGUCUCCUGCUCUCCAUAGGCAGAGAAGUGCGUCCAGGCAGUUUGGAGAACUGCUGGCUCAGGCUUCACCUCCACUAAUCCAAGUUCAGUCACUUUCCUCUGAAGAACCUGCAUCAAGCCGUGGUUUUAAGCUGCAGAUGGAGUUCUUCUCGCAGGACUGAAGUGCUGAAGCUCUCUGAGCUCCGAAGGCACCCUGAACUCAUGAGGCUUUUUCUUGGUUGGCAACGUGCUUAAAAAGAAAGAAAUGCAAAUGGGCAUUUCCACGUGACUGUAUUCUGCUCAGUGCAGUGUCUGCCUGUGUUGCAGACUGAGCUCCGUGGCAUUGCAAAGAAUGCACCAAAUCAAGAUGUGGCCGUUGUAUGAAGUAAGUUUGUGGUUGCUGUGAAGCUGGGAGGAAUGUUGACUGCCUUGGGGGUUGAGAGGCCUUGCAGCAAGAUGUGGAGAAAUGUGAGGGUGGUCCCCAUCUGCACGAAGAAGAGCAAGCGCUGCGUUCUGCACCUGGGAUGCGGCAGCCCUGGCUAUAAGCCCUCAGCAAACAGUCGUCCUGUUCCACUUUUGGCCAGUCUCAGAUGCUUGUCUUCCAGAAUGUCUGCGUGUGGAUGAAUCACAACAGGAUCCUGGGAACUUUUAAGAAAGGAAAGAUUGCUUCACGUGUAAUGAAAAGCUAGUGUCCAGAAGAUCACUGCGGCCAGAUGCCAAUUUUGAUGCCCUCGUCAGUAAGACUUGUCCAAGCCCUG